UACGAAGGGUGCAAGCGUUAUCCGGAUUUACUGGGUUUAAAGGGUGCGUAGGUGGGUUGGGAAGUCAGUGGUGAAAUACUUUCGCUUAACGAAGGAACUGCCAUUGAUACUAUCAAUCUUGAAUGUAGUGGAGGUAGGCGGAAUGCGUCAUGUAGCGGUGAAAUGCUUAGAUAUGACGCAGAACACCAAUUGCGAAGGCAGCUUGCUACACUACUAUUGACACUGAGGCACGAAAGCGUGGGGAUCAAACAGG
rnacentral:rRNA from 1 species